AUGUAUUUGUCACUAAAGCUGUUGUUCUGAUUAAACACUGUGAAUAGUAAUAAAGUUUUUUUGAGGUGUUUGUAGCAAAGCCUGUUUAGUACACAACAUAAAAGAAUAAGCUAGGAGCACAACCUUGAAAUCUUUUUCCUUACUGAAUGUGUCUACAAAUACAGAAUUUAUUAAGGAAACUCCUUCACACUAGCUGGCUGCUAUAUUUGAUCUAACACAACUGAAGCCUGCUUUUUUGCUGGAACGUUUUUCUUCUGUAGACUUACAGAUGUGGAUUUUAAUUACGUGCUAUGAAGUAUCCUAUCUGUGGUGAUUCUGAGGUUCAGGAAAUGAGGGCUGCAUAGUUUUAAGAAAUGGAACAAAAUACUAAACAUGGACAGGAGCCUGAGACAUGAAUUGAAUGGAGAAUCUUUAUCCAGAAAUAAAUUCUGGAGUUGGAAGAAUGUAGAGGUAUGUUAAACAUACACAUACAUAGUGUGUGUUCUUGUGUGAGUGUUCGGUGUACAUAUCCAUUUGAUGAGAAUAAGGUGGAUGAAACAGCUGUCAUGAAAGCAGCCCACACAAAUGCAAUUUAUGACAGGGAAAAAA